rnacentral:rRNA from 1 species
GACGAACGCUGGCGGCGUGCCUAAUACAUGCAAGUCGAACGCACUCUCGUUUAGAUUGAAGGAGCUUGCUCCUGAUUGAUAAACAUUUGAGUGAGUGGCGGACGGGUGAGUAACACGUGGGUAACCUGCCCUAAAGUGGGGGAUAACAUUUGGAAACAGAUGCUAAUACCGCAUAAAACCUAACACCGCAUGGUGUAGGGUUGAAAGAUGGUUUCGGCUAUCACUUUAGGAUGGACCCGCGGUGCAUUAGUUAGUUGGUGAGGUAAAGGCUCACCAAGACCGUGAUGCAUAGCCGACCUGAGAGGGUAAUCGGCCACACUGGGACUGAGACACGGCCCAGACUCCUACGGGAGGCAGCAGUAGGGAAUCUUCCACAAUGGACGGAAGUCUGAUGGAGCAACGCCGCGUGAGUGAAGAAGGUUUUCGGAUCGUAAAACUCUGUUGUUGGAGAAGAAUGUAUCUGAUAGUAACUGAUCAGGUAGUGACGGUAUCCAACCAGAAAGCCACGG